UACAGAGGUCUCAAGCGUUGUUCGGAUUCAUUGGGCGUAAAGGGUGCGUAGGCGGCGCGGUAAGUCGGGUGUGAAAUCUCGGGGCUUAACUCCGAAACUGCAUUCGAUACUGCCGUGCUUGAGGACUGGAGAGGAGACUGGAAUUUACGGUGUAGCGGUGAAAUGCGUAGAUAUCGUAAGGAAGACCAGUGGCGAAGGCGGGUCUCUGGACAGUUCCUGACGCUGAGGCACGAAGGCCAGGGGGGAGCAAAACGGGG
rnacentral:rRNA from 1 species